CACAUCUUAUGGAAUCAGUUUUUUAUGAACCUUACUUUCUCUUCCAUCUUUUUAUUCACCCCUUCUGUUCUUUCUAUCUUUCAGUUUCUUUCUCAUAACAUCAUUAACCACAUGUGUCACUUUAUCUUUUUUCUCUAAAGUGAUAUAUAAUUAUCGGUUUUGCAUCUAUAUAGGUGGAAAUUAUAAAAUCAGCGUUGAACAUUAUGUGUAGUUUUAUUUUUUAUCACUUGUUACUACAUAUCUCAUCACAUGGUCAUUUUCUUUCUCUUUAUAUAUAUUUCCCCUGAAAUAUCCUCACUCUAUAGUUUAUACACUUCAUUCAUCUGUACAAAUCUACUACAUCUUAUUCUCGAGUUACUAUUCAUAAGAAACCACCAAUGGCAUUUCGACAUGUGUACUGCUUUUGUGACUUUUUCAAAUUUAGUUUUAUUUUUUUAGUUGAAAUCUAUUACUGCUUUUUCCAUCUUUUAAUCUGGGCCGUUGAAUAAAAUAAUCACAGAUCACACAACCCUACCUGUUUCUCUCUCUUCUCGAACAUGUGAGGUUGGCAGAGCCGCCGCCUCCGCUCCCCGGUUUCCAUGGGGAAGCACCGACCCCAUGUCCCUUCAGCCACCCUUCCUCUGUAAAUUUCGUCCUUUUUCCCCAAUUUCUCGCUUCUCCAACUGUAGCAACGCCACUGAUUUCCCCGUGCCAACUGCGUUCGACGUCACUCGGCUCUAAAGAUCUACUUCCCACGAUCUUCGGCACCUUCCCAUGGCUUCCUCGACGUUGGCCAUCAAGUCGCUCCAUCAACCAUUGCGUGAUCCAUUUGCCUAUAAAUGCUCACACAAUUCAACCCUCACUCCACCACCAUUCACACAACCAUUACUCCACCACAUUUCACACAAUCCUCACUCCAAUCUCUGAGAUGGCUGGUGGUAUUAAUUCGAUCAGAAGCCUUCUAACUGGACGAGAUAUGUGGAGAGUGAAAGUCAGGGUUUUGGAGGUGUGGAGCUUUGUUCUGUUAGAGAACCAUUGAAUCCAUUUGACAUCCAGAUGGUGCUCAUUGAUGGGCAUCUAAUUGAGGGAACCAUAUGCAUUUAAUAACUUUUUCAGCAGUUCUGAGUAGUUGCUGGAGUAUGAAACCCAUGUUAUGCAGGAUUAUGCAUUAGGCUAAGGUUCGCAUCUGGUGGAAAUAUCUGUUAAGCUUUUGCAAUUGAUUCUAAGAAGGAUAUCUCUGGACACAAUCCAGAAUAAUUACUUAGCUGAGCUCUCAGUUAUUUCACAACUUCGUGAUACACUCCAUCUUGCAGUAAGAUGGUGCUCAUUGAUGCUGAGCUCCUACACAUUUAAAUAAAUACAUGCACUUUGGUUGCUGCAAAUGAUGUUCUGCUAGAUUCCCAAGUUAUGAAGUACAACCCCAUGGACUGAACUUGAUAGAGGGGAAUGUUCUUCUCUGUGGCUAUUCUUACAACUUUGUUUCUGGUACUGCAUCAAUAAAGAAAGUCUAUGAAACAGUAAAGGCCCUUGAAGUAGUUCGAUUUGUUCUUUGUGUAGAGAAUGUUUCUCCUGAAAGGAAAUUAGAUCCAGUUCAUGUCGGCCUUCUUGACAUUCUUAUUAC